GAUGAACGCUAGCUACAGGCUUAACACAUGCAAGUCGGGGGGAAACGAUAGAGAAAGCUUGCUUUUUCUAGGCGUCGACCGGCGCACGGGUGAGUAACGCGUAUCCAACCUGCCCAUCACUUGGGGAUAACCUUGCGAAAGUAAGACUAAUACCCAAUGACGUCUCUAGAAGACAUCUGAAAGAGAUUAAAGAUUUAUCGGUGAUGGAUGGGGAUGAGUCUGAUUAGCUUGUUGGCGGGGUAACGGCCCACCAAGGCGACGAUCAGUAGGGGUUCUGAGAGGAAGGUCCCCCACAUUGGGACUGAGACACGGUCCAAACUCCUACGGGAGGCAGCAGUGAGGAAUAUUGGGCAAUGGGCGAGAGCCUGAACCAGCCAAGUAGCGUGCAGGAUGACGGCCCUAUGGGUUGUAAACUGCUUUUAUAAGGGAAUAAAGUGAGUCUCGUGAGACUUUUUGCAUGUACCUUAUGAAUAAGGACCGGCUAAUUCCGUGCCAGCCGCCGCCGUAA
rnacentral:rRNA from 1 species